ACGGGUGAGUAACACGUGGGUGAUCUGCCCUGCGCUUUGGGAUAAGCCUGGGAAACUGGGUCUAAUACCGAAUACACCCUGCUGGUCGCAUGGCCUGGUGGGGGAAAGCUUUUGCGGUGUGGGAUGGGCCCGCGGCCUAUCAGCUUGUUGGUGGGGUGAUGGCCUACCAAGGCGACGACGGGUAGCCGGCCUGAGAGGGUGUCCGGCCACACUGGGACUGAGAUACGGCCCAGACUCCUACGGGAGGCAGCAGUGGGGAAUAUUGCACAAUGGGCGCAAGCCUGAUGCAGCGACGCCGCGUGAGGGAUGACGGCCUUCGGGUUGUAAACCUCUUUCAGCAGGGACGAAGCGCAAGUGACGGUACCUGUAGAAGAAGCGCCGGCCAACUACGUGCCAGCAGCCGCGGUAAUACGUAGGGUGCGAGCGUUGUCCGGAAUUACUGGGCGUAAAGAGCUCGUAGGUGGUUUGUCGCGUUGUUCGUGAAAACUCACAGCUUAACUGUGGGCGUGCGGGCGAUACGGGCAGACUGGAGUACUGCAGGGGAGACUGGAAUUCCUGGUGUAGCGGUGGAAUGCGCAGA
rnacentral:rRNA from 1 species